UACGUAGGGUGCGAGCGUUGUCCGGAAUUAUUGGGCGUAAAGAGCUCGUAGGCGGUCUGUCGCGUCGAAUGUGAAAACCCGGGGCUCAACUCCGGGCUUGCAUUCGAUACGGGCAGGCUAGAGUUCGGUAGGGGAGUCUGGAAUUCCUGGUGUAGCGGUGAAAUGACGCAGAUAUCAGGAGGAACACCGGUGGCGAAGGCGGGUCUCUGGGCCGAUACUGACGCUGAGGAGCGAAAGCGUGGGGAGCGAACAGG
rnacentral:rRNA from 1 species